rnacentral:rRNA from 1 species
AGAGUUUGAUCAUGGCUCAGGACGAACGCUGGCGGCGUGCCUAAUACAUGCAAGUAGAACGCUGAAGAGAGGAGCUUGCUCUUCUUGGAUGAGUUGCGAACGGGUGAGUAACGCGUAGGUAACCUGCCUUGUAGCGGGGGAUAACUAUUGGAAACGAUAGCUAAUACCGCAUAACAAUGGAUGACCCAUGUCAUUUAUUUGAAAGGGGCAAAUGCUCCACUACAAGAUGGACCUGCGUUGUAUUAGCUAGUAGGUGAGGUAACGGCUCACCUAGGCGACGAUACAUAGCCGACCUGAGAGGGUGAUCGGCCACACUGGGACUGAGACACGGCCCAGACUCCUACGGGAGGCAGCAGUAGGGAAUCUUCGGCAAUGGGGGCAACCCUGACCGAGCAACGCCGCGUGAGUGAAGAAGGUUUUCGGAUCGUAAAGCUCUGUUGUAAGUCAAGAACGAGUGUGAGAGUGGAAAGUUCACACUGUGACGGUAGCUUACCAGAAAGGGACGGCUAACUACGUGCCAGCAGCCGCGGUAAUACGUAGGUCCCGAGCGUUGUCCGGAUUUAUUGGGCGUAAAGCGAGCGCAGGCGGUUUGAUAAGUCUGAAGUUAAAGGCUGUGGCUCAACCAUAGUUCGCUUUGGAAACUGUCAAACUUGAGUGCAGAAGGGGAGAGUGGAAUUCCAUGUGUAGCGGUGAAAUGCGUAGAUAUAUGGAGGAACACCGGUGGCGAAAGCGGCUCUCUGGUCUGUAACUGACGCUGAGGCUCGAAAGCGUGGGGAGCGAACAGGAUUAGAUACCCUGGUAGUCCACGCCGUAAACGAUGAGUGCUAGGUGUUGGAUCCUUUCCGGGAUUCAGUGCCGCAGCUAACGCAUUAAGCACUCCGCCUGGGGAGUACGACCGCAAGGUUGAAACUCAAAGGAAUUGACGGGGGCCCGCACAAGCGGUGGAGCAUGUGGUUUAAUUCGAAGCAACGCGAAGAACCUUACCAGGUCUUGACAUCCCGAUGCUAUUUCUAGAGAUAGAAAGUUACUUCGGUACAUCGGUGACAGGUGGUGCAUGGUUGUCGUCAGCUCGUGUCGUGAGAUGUUGGGUUAAGUCCCGCAACGAGCGCAACCCCUAUUGUUAGUUGCCAUCAUUCAGUUGGGCACUCUAGCGAGACUGCCGGUAAUAAACCGGAGGAAGGUGGGGAUGACGUCAAAUCAUCAUGCCCCUUAUGACCUGGGCUACACACGUGCUACAAUGGUUGGUACAACGAGUUGCGAGUCGGUGACGGCAAGCUAAUCUCUUAAAGCCAAUCUCAGUUCGGAUUGUAGGCUGCAGCUCGCCUACAUGAAGUCGGAAUCGCUAGUAAUCGCGGAUCAGCACGCCGCGGUGAAUACGUUCCCGGGCCUUGUACACACCGCCCGUCACACCACGAGAGUUUGUAACACCCGAAGUCGGUGAGGUAACCUUUUGGAGCCAGCCGCCUAAGGUGGGAUAGAUGAUUGGGGUGAAGUCGUAACAAGGUA